UACAGAGGGUGCGAGCGUUAAUCGGAAUUACUGGGCGUAAAGCGUGCGUAGACGGUAAUGUAAGUCGGGUGUGAAAGCCCCGGGCUCAACCUGGGAAUUGCAUUCGAGACUGCAUUGCUGGGGUGCGGAAGAGGGAAGCGGAAUUUCCGGUGUAGCGGUGAAAUGCGUAGAUAUCGGAAGGAACACCAGUGGCGAAAGCGGCUUCCUGGUCCGACACCGACGUUCAGGCACGAAAGCGUGGGGAGCAAAC
rnacentral:rRNA from 1 species